rnacentral:sRNA from 1 species
GACCACUUCUGCGGAAGUUAAGGCCAUACGGACAGCCGGGUCCACUGCCGA